CACUUUUAAAGGAUUAUUAGUCAUCCACUGGUCUUAGGAACCAAAAACUUUGGUGCAAUUCCAAAUAAAAGUA
ensembl:Mt_tRNA